rnacentral:rRNA from 1 species
CGAGCCGGCGGGUGCCUAAUAACUGCAAGUCGAGCGAAUGGAUUAAGAGCUUGCUCUUAUGAAGUUAGCGGCGGACGGGUGAGUAACACGGGGGGAGACCCCCCCCCAAAAAACGGGGGAUAACUCCCGGGAAAACGGGGCGUAAUAACGCGAGAACAUUUUGAAACACGCACUGGUUCGUAAAAAAGAAAAAGCGGCGUUCGGCGGUCAUCUUUAUAGGGAUGGACCCCCGUCCCAUUAACUUAGUUGGGGAAGGUAACGGCUCACCAAGGCAACGAUGCGUUAGCCGACCUUGAGAGGGGGGAUCGGCCCACACGGGGACUGAGAACACCGGCCCAGACUCCUACGGGGAGGCAACAGUAGGGAAUCUUCCGCAAUGGACGAAAGUCUGACGGAGCAACGCCGCGUGAGUGAUGAAGGCUUUCGGGUCGUAAAACUCUGUUGUUAGGGAAGAACAAGUGCUAGUUGAAUAAGCUGGCACCUUGACGGUACCUAACCAGAAAGCCACGGCUAACUACGUGCCAGCAGCCGCGGUAAUACGUAGGUGGCAAGCGUUAUCCGGAAUUAUUGGGCGUAAAGCGCGCGCAGGUGGUUUCUUAAGUCUGAUGUGAAAGCCCACGGCUCAACCGUGGAGGGUCAUUGGAAACUGGGAGACUUGAGUGCAGAAGAGGAAAGUGGAAUUCCAUGUGUAGCGGUGAAAUGCGUAGAGAUAUGGAGGAACACCAGUGGCGAAGGCGACUCUCUGGACUGUAACUGACACUGAGGCGCGAAAGAGUGGGGAGCAAACAGGAUUACAUACCCUGGUAGUCCACGCCGUAAACGAUGAGUGCUAAGUGUUAGAGGGAUUCCGCCCUUUAGUGCUGAAGUUAACGCAUCUAUAUUGCACUCCGCCUGGGGAGUACGGCCGCAAGGCUGAAACUCAAAGGAAUUGACGGGGGCCCGCACAAGCGGUGGAGCAUGUGGUUUAAUUCGAAGCAACGCGAAGAACCUUACCAGGUCUUGACAUCCUCUGAAAACCCUAGAGAUAGGGCUUCUCCUUCGGGAGCAGAGUGACAGGUGGUGCAUGGUUGUCGUCAGCUCGUGUCGUGAGAUGUUGGGUUAAGUCCCGCAACGAGCGCAACCCUUGAUCUUAGUUGCCAUCAUUAAGUUGGGCACUCUAAGGUGACUGCCGGUGACAAACCGGAGGAAGGUGGGGAUGACGUCAAAUCAUCAUGCCCCUUAUGACCUGGGCUACACACGUGCUACAAUGGACGGUACAAAGAGCUGCAAGACCGCGAGGUGGAGCUAAUCUCAUAAAACCGUUCUCAGUUCGGAUUGUAGGCUGCAACUCGCCUACAUGAAGCUGGAAUCGCUAGUAAUCGCGGAUCAGCAUGCCGCGGUGAAUACGUUCCCGGGCCUUGUACACACCGCCCGUCACACCACGAGAGUUUGUAACACCCGAAGUCGGUGGGGUAACCUUUUGGAGCCAGCCGCCUAAGGUGGACAGUGUG